AGUUUUUAUAGUUUAAAAUAAAACAUUGGUCUUGUAAAUCAAAAAUAAGUAUAUACUUUAAAAAC
rnacentral:tRNA from 1 species